UUUUCUAACAAAAGGGGGGUGAAAUGGGGAAAUACACGGAGAUUUUGGAUGCAGGUGUGAGAAUAGUCGCAAGGUUUCAUUCUCACUGCCCCCAGACUGCUCGUCUCUAUUAUCACCCACCGGCUGACUCCAACCCCCACCACCACAGCGUCUCCGACAAUAUUGGCAGCAUCUCAAGAGAAGUCUCGGCGCAUAUGGGGUUCUACGGUUCCAAGGCGGCGGCUGGUGCUGACUUGAAAGAGAUCAUUAUUUUUUCCCUUUGACGAGAGAGAUUUACAAUUUUGGAAUUCUCCUAUCGAUUAUCUUUUUAAAACUGCUCAAAGUUUAACAGAUUGCUUGUAUUUGUUUCUGGACUUGACAGAUUCUUUUACAAAUAAACGAGGAAUUUGAUUUAC